rnacentral:lncRNA from 1 species
GUUUUCUAGCGCCUCUGGUGGGCCGCCUCCCGCAGGCCUGGUGUGAGCCUGGGGUCCGUUCUCACAGCUGGAUCUGGGGUCUGAAUGCCGCGCCCUCUGGAGAGCCACAGAUGGGUCUCCGCUGAUGCUUCUCUCAAUUUCCUCUAAGAGCGAGAGCUCCGGGAAAGGAGCCGAUCCUGGUGGAAGACUACAGGUCUGAGUCCACUGGACGAAAAACGAGGCUCCUUGGAUUAGAGACCAUCCUGAGGACAUCCUUGGGAGCCAUGUGCUGAAGAUGGCCAAGCCACAGGAUGAAAGGAGCUGCAUCUUUGAGUCACCACUGGAGAAAGGUCUCUCUAAAUGGAUUUGCAGAGACGUCUUCUCGAAUACUCCCCUUCUAAGUUCCACUUGUAAUCCACUUCUUCUAUUCUCCCAGCAAUCAAUGUGGUUUGGGGAAAUUCCAGAAUCUCAUAUCACGCAGUACACAUUUGUCUUCCAUGGGCUUCAGUUGUAAGAGAACCCUUUCUACUCUUUGCUGUUCACAAGUCUCCUUUUAAACAGAGCUUGUUCCCAAUGCUGUUUUGUUUUGCCCUCUGCCAUGUUCUUCCGGCCAUCACCUCCUGUGGGGAAAAGAGAGAGAGAUCACAUUGUUACUGUGUCUGUGUAGAAAGAAGUAGACAUAGGAGACUCCAUUUUGUUCUGUACUAAGAAAAAUUCUUCUGCCUUGAGAUGCUGUUAAUCUAACCCUAGCCCCAACCCUGUGCUCCCUGAGACAUAUGCUGUGUCAACUCAGGGUUAAAUGGAUUAAGGGCUGUGCAAGAUGUGCUUUGUUAAAGAAAUGCUUGAAGGCAGCAUGCUCGUUAAGAGUCAUCUCCACUCCCUAAUCUCAAGUACUCAGGGACACAAAACACUGAGGAAGGCCACAGGGACCUCUGCCUAGGAAAGCCAGGUAUUGUCCAAGGUUUCUCCCCAUGUGAUAGUCUGAAAUGUGGCCUCGUGGGAAGGGAAAGACCUGACCGUCCCCCAGCCCGACACCCGUAAAGGGUCUGUGCUGAGGAGGAUUAGUAAAAGAGGAAGGAACGCCUCUUUGCAGUUGAGACAAGAGGAAGGCAUCUGUCUCCUGCUCGUCCCUGGGCAAUGGAAUGUCUCAGUGUAAAACCCGAUUGUAUAUUCCAUCUACUGAGAUAGGGGAAAACUGCCUUAGGGCUGGAGGUGGGACAUGCUGGCAGCAAUACUGCUCUUCAAGUCAUUGAGAUGUUUAUGUGUAUGCAUAUCUAAAGCACAGCACUUAAUUCUUUACCUUGUUUAUGAUGCAGAGACCUUUGUUCACGUGUUUACCUGCUGACCUUCUCUCCACUAUUAUCCUUUGACCCUGCCACAUCCCCCUCUCCGAGAAACACCCAAUAAUGAUCAAUAAAUACUAAGGGAACUCAGAGGCCGGUGGGAUCCUCCGUAUGCUGAACACCGGUCCCCUGGACCCCUUUUUUUCUUUCUCUAUACUUUGUCUCUGUGUCUCUUUCUUUUCCAAGUCUCUCAUUCCACCUAACGAGAAACAACCACAGGUGUGGAGGGGCAGCCCAACCCUUCAACCUACCUAUCUUAUCUCUUCCAUUAUCUAUCCACAUAUGUCCUCUGUAUUUUUUUGAGUAACAUUUAUAAGCAUAAGUCCUUAGGUAGCUAUGCCACUUACAUAAUGAACUAGAAAAGGUAACCAAACAGAAUAGGGUUGUACUCAGAUAUACCUUCUACAAGUUUGUGUUACACAUAUUUACACAUAUUUAAAAAUAUAUACAUAUUAUUAUUGUGCUGUGUGGUUAUUAGGCAAACUCAAUAAGCAGUUCUUAUAAAGUAUACUCAAUGUAACUUUUAUAAACUUACCA